GUCACAAAGACAAACUUAUCAGCCAUGUUCUUGUAUACACGGUUGCAUUCGCAAGGAAUGUACACAUGUUCAAACUAAGGUUUGUUACCCAAAAAUAUACCUAAAUAAUCUCAAACAUUUCCAAAUUUCAACAGAAGGUAAUACGAGUAACUGAAUCUGCUAUCGAGUCUAUAGGAUUUGCCUAGAACAUAAGGUACUGUGCUUCUUUGAGUUGAAUUAGGAUAUGGGUUGAUUGUUCUUUGUAAUUGCUUGCUGAAUCUGUAAGUUUUUUUAAUUUUUGUAUCUGAGGGAAUGCCCCCUUUGAGGUAUAAAGUGUGAUUUGAUCAAUAAAAUGCAAACAAUCAAGACGUUUUGGCCCGAAAUAUGAACAUGAUCCAACUGCAGAAUCUAUUUUUGGAGAUCGCCCUUUGAAAUGAGCCUUUACUUUGAACAACUCUACAUACUAAAUUAUUUUUUAAAAAAAGUUAUAAUAUAUAAUAAGGAUAAAGCAUUUGAGAGAAAACCCAAUCUCAACCUCAAUGAUCAUCUCAUAUUUCAUGGUGGAGUUGAAGUGAAUUACUAAUAAAUAACCAUGCUCAGUUCUUCGCCUUCUCCAAGUAUCCAUGAUACAUCAUUUGAAGUCCAAUGUCAGUGAUCCUCUCAAACAACUAGAAAUGCAGACUGCGUUUUAGUUUUAUCAUUUCCAAUCAGAAUUAUUCUAUUUUGAGAACCAAGGGGAAAGAGAACUCACGAAUAUCCAGAUACACGUGCACAAGAUAUAAAAUUAACUACAUGAUAUUCUGUAUUUGGAUGUAAUAUAAAACAAUCAUUAUAGUCAUAGACACAAAACCACAGUACAUGUGCAAUUUAUUUGAAGUAAAAAACCAAAAUUUCCUUAAUACUGUGAUGCUUACACAUACAAAUAGUAAAAAAAGAUGCCAUAUCAUCCCCACUUCCGUCCAUUUUCUGCCUAUUUAACUUGAACAUAUCUUCAAUCUAAACCUAUUUGUAUCUAUUGCAUUAUCAAACAUGAUAUAUUCAUGCUUAAAAAAAAA